UACAGAGGUCUCAAGCGUUGUUCGGAUUCAUUGGGCGUAAAGGGUGCGUAGGUGGCGCCGUAAGUCGGGUGUGAAAUUUCGGAGCUUAACUCCGAAACUGCAUUCGAUACUGCGGUGCUUGAGGACUGGAGAGGAGACUGGAAUUCAUGGUGUAGCAGUGAAAUGCGUAGAGAUCAUGAGGAAGACCAGUGGCGAAGGCGGGUCUCUGGACAGUUCCUGACGCUGAGGCACGAAGGCCAGGGGAGCAAACGGGG
rnacentral:rRNA from 1 species